UCCAUGCGCCGCAGGUAGGCUCUCUCCGUCUCGUGCCGGCCCCUCUUGAAGUGUGGCACAGGUAUGUCUCCAUCCUGGGAGUCCUCUGGCUUCACCUUCAGGGAGAUGGCUAAACGACAGAACAACGAAUCCCUCACCUUUGUAUACAAGACAAAGUCAUGACCCCAGGAGUAAAAAAAACUUGCUUUGGAGAGGAUAUAUCGGGAAUGGAAGGUCUUGGCACCGACAUCACUGUGAUCUGCCCGUGGGAAGCCUACAGCCAUCUAGAGCUUCACGAGCUGGCUCAGUACAGCAUCAUCUGAGUCUCUGUGAAACUCUUGUUUAUAUUCACCAAAGGGAAAUGAUGUGGCUUCCAUCCGCAACGAGCUGCAUCGUCAAUAUCAAGAUGAAGUGUGUAAUGUGUAAUAUA